CGCAUCUGUGCAUGCAGCAUAUCAAUAAGCGGAGGAAAAGAAACUAACAAGGAUUCCCUCAGUAACGGCGAGUGAAGCGGGAAGAGCUCAAAUUUGAAAUCUUGAAAGGUCACCUUUCACGAAUUGUAGUUUAAAGAAGUGUUUUCUGUUACGAUCGUAAUAUAAGUUCUUUGGAAUAGGACAUCACAGAGGGUGAGAAUCCCGUCUAUGAUUGCGAUUUGUAGCUUUGUGAUACACUUUCAAAGAGUCGGGUUGUUUGGGAAUGCAGUCCAAAACGGGAGGUAAAUUUCUUCUAAGGCUAAAUAUUGGCGAGAGACCGAUAGCGAACAAGUACCGUGAGGGAAAGAUGAAAAGAACUUUGAAAAGAGAGUUAAAUAGUACGUGAAAUUGUCAAAAGGGAAGCGUUUAACAGCCAGUGUUGUUUUCUGAAAAUCAACCUCUGUUAGCUUUAUGCAUGUUUGUUUAGACCUAAUCAGCUAUCUUGCAUGUUCUAUUGAUUGCAGUGGUGCACUUUUCAGUUUACAGGUCAACAUCAGUUUUUUUACCGUAAAAAAGUUAAAGAAAGGUAGCUCAUGGCUCCGGUCGUGAGUGUUAUAGUCUUUUUCCUAUGCGGUAGGAGAGACUGAGGUCUGCAGUGUAGGCUAUUUGGCUAGAUACUCAGGUGCUAUGUGAUACCAUUUCAUAAACAACUUGUUGAUUAUGUUUUGUCUAUUGCAUACUCGCUUGUACUAUCAUACCUACGCUUAGGAUGUUGACGAUCAGCUGAGCGCG
rnacentral:rRNA from 1 species